GCUUUUGCGAUUGAGGGCUAUGGAAAGCCUCGUUCACACCGAGGGGGUCACAGGUUCAAUCCCUGUCGCAUCCACCA
rnacentral:tRNA from 1 species